UACAGAGGUCUCAAGCGUUGUUCGGAUUCAUUGGGCGUAAAGGGUGUGUAGGUGGCGCCGUUAGUCGGGUGUGAAAUUUCGGAGCUUAACUCCGAAACUGCAUUCGAUACUGGAUGGCUAGAGGUUGGGAGAGGGAUGCGGAAUCCAGGUGUAGCGGUGAAAUGCGUAGAUAUCUGGAGGAACACCGGUGGCGAAGGCGGCAAUCCUGGACCCAAUUCUGACGCUGAGGAGCGAAAGCCAG
rnacentral:rRNA from 1 species